rnacentral:lncRNA from 1 species
CGUUUGUUUGAUUGGAAAAGGCCAUGAAUAUGAUGCAGCCAAAUAUUUUGAAAUUCUGAAGAUGUCUUGGACUAUUCAACACAUGUUUAGAUUGUCUUGUUUGUCACUCUGUGUAGCAAGGACAUGAUUCAGUUUGUAGAAGUAUCCAUGCUACAUGUUCUCCUUGUGUUUUCUUUCAUUUCUUUGUUAGUUCCUGUUGAUGCAUUUUAUAUGCCCCUUUUGGGUUAUCUAAUCUUCUCAGAAUUCACAUUUUGCUACAACAAUUGUUAUUGAAAUUUGCACAAUGAUGCUUAUGCAUAAAGCAAUUUUGAUGAAAUGUAAAUUGUUAUAGUAAGUUUCUUCAGCGUUGUAGUAUUGACUGUAUGUUGACUGUUUGCUAUUAUUUUGCUCUGUUUCAGACAAUAUCUUCUGUUAAUCCUUACUUAUCCAAAAAAAAAAAUAUAUCUUCUGUUAAUUCUUAACCUGUCUAAUUUAUUCUCACUACCACACAGUUCCACCCACGUCAUUUUGUGUUGUCCCCUUUUCCUUUAACAACCUUCCACCUUUAUCAGAGCUCUCCUUUUAACGAUGUGGCAAAGUAUAAUAACAGAAGGGAAUUUUAUGGCC